CUUUGCUUCAUCAAGAUGGCUUUAGGAGCAACCCCAGCACAGUGCCUUUACAAAGGUUCCCUCAGUUCACAUAAUUACUGCUUUUGAAAUGACACACAGAGAUGCUGGUAAUAAUUGUACGUAUUGUAAAGCAGGAGUUUAAUGUUCGUAAGACAAGGAAGGGGGAGCAGAAGGGCGGCUGGGAGCUGUUCUUCAUGCCAGAGGCUCGCCUACAUGUUCUGCUAGGUGGAUCUCUCAGGGCACCUUGAAAGAGUAGACAUAAAAAUGAGUGAGGCUUACAAGACAUUACUUUAAAUGAUUUAAAUUAAGCUUGAUAUUUGGGAUGAAGUGAGGCUGAGCCAUAUGGUCACAAAAGGUCCGCCCAGAUAGAUAAAUCCAGAAAGUUCAGACAGAGAAAUCGUUGUUGUGAGCCAAAAAAAAAAAAAAAAAAAAAAAAAAUGAAGUCAGUUCCUGGAGUUGGUCCAAAUAGGAUCACCAGAAUACAAAUGUGUGAUAGAAACAGGGAUAAAGAUAGAUCAUCUGCACAGCGUUUGCAGCUCGUGCUUUCCGUGUCCAUGCAGUGAAGUUUGGGACUAAACUCAGCACUCUGGGGGACUUAGGGAUCCUGCCUUACAUCUUGUAUAACCAGCUCUGGCUUUACCAUCUUCCUCCUCCAGAUGAGGUUUGCUGUGGUGUAGUAUAGAACACAGACCCAAACUGGACUGAGCCUGCAAGGAAGCUGCAGCAGAUGAACUGCUCUCUUCAAGGUCCAAAGCACGAAGCAGCAGAGCUCACAGAUGACACUGCGGACACACUGCAGCAAGUAUUGAAUAGAGGCUUUAAUGAAAGCCAUGACUCCAGACUGACUGAUGACAAGAUAAUCAUUGCCAUGGUAUCUGGGCAAGUGUUCCUGGAAAACCAUUGACUGAGAAACGUGCUGAACACCCUUGAAAUGGCUGAGGUCAAACUCUACGUGCCUGGGGUGAGUAGGGAGCAACAUCAAAGCCAUGUUUUUUUUAUCAAAGCUCAGCUGCUCACAGCAGGCUGCUGGAGGCCAUGGGCUGUCACUACCCCAUGUUUUCUUUGGUUGGAUACCCCACAGGUAGCAAUCAGGGAGCUGCCAAGCAUCUGGUUUAGCUAGGUGUAGAUUAUACAGUGAUUACUCCAUAAUGCUUUGGG
ensembl:lncRNA